rnacentral:tRNA from 1 species
AAAAAGAUAAGCUAAGCCUAAGCUUUUGGGUUCAUACCCCAAAUAUAAAGUAACCCUUUUCUUUUUA